AACGCUGCGAAUGAUAUUUAAAACCCAGGCAGCCUGACAGAGUUAUUUGUAUUGCUGUAGUGUUUAUAAGCCAUUUCGUUUGUUGUGAGAAAUCCAGUACAAAGAUGGGAAAAGGCAAAAAGUCCACUUCUGCCAAACGAAGACCUGUGGACGGCAGUAUAAACGAGAAAGUAGAAGAGGCUAAAGAGAACAGAGACGGGAAAACCACGACAUGCCAAGGGCAGCCAACAAUACAUAGUUUUCUGAAUCUAAACAA